rnacentral:rRNA from 1 species
CCUAAGAAACCCAAAAGAUCGAACGGGGAGAUUCAUCGUCAGCGGCGCUGGCUUCGCGUCGGUGGGCGAUGUCCCGCGGAGUCCUCGCGGCUCCCGCGCGGGCACGCUACCGUGCGUCGAUGUCCGGCGCUCGUCGUCGUGCACUUCUCCCCAAGUAGAACGUCGCGACCCGCUGGGUGUCGGUCUACGGCCCGGGUGUGUCGACUGUCGCGUCGCCGGUAAAACGGCACGCGACAAACCCCCGGUCGCCCGGCCGGCUGCUCGGCGGUACGCGCAUGGUAUCAGGCCGCACUUCGGUGCGUCGAGGCCGUCGCAAGCGCGCGCCACGGUACCCGGAGGUUUGCGGACUUUGCGCCGUCCCCGGUCCUGGCCCGCUGUUGGUUAAAGUACGGAUUCACCUUCGACAGGCCCGAGAACGUCUCGCCGCGCGCGCUCCCCGCAAGGGGUGUNNCCGCGCGGCAGACCGAUACCGGUCGGCGACGCUACUGCUUUGGGUACU